rnacentral:lncRNA from 1 species
CUUAAACAGAAUGAAAACAAUGCAGAUUAAAAAAGAAGUGUGCUUUUCAAUUAUGAAGACACUGGAAAAUUAGCGAGUUGUUAAAUAGAAACAUCAUACAGUUUAGGUUCCUGUACAUUUUUCAGGAGUCUGAGCCAACUAAUCGGAGCGGUGGUGUAAUGAAGAAAAGAAGAAAGAUAAGGGAGUAAAAUGUGAGAAGCAUUCUCCUUAAAGUCAGAAUCAAAAUAAAGAUGCCACUGUUACUACUUUUAAUCUACUCAACAUUGUACUAGUGAUCAUAGCCAGAACAACACAGCAAAAUUAAAUGAGAACAAGUCUGUACUGUCUGUCCUUCUGGAGAAUGAGAGACCCAUGGAACAGAGCUCAAACAUGAGGCCAUCCUAGACCAGCCAGCCCAUUGCUAACCUGACAACUCUCUGUAAGUCAUGAGUGGCUCAGGUGAGAUCAGCAGAGCCUGGCCCAGAUGAGCAGAACUGUGGAUCAUACCCCAGGCCAAUGAGAAAUAUUAAAUGGUUGUUUAA